UAGUAAUCUGACACAACGGUCCUAACCAAAUACAGAAUUAUGUUUGAAAUGUGGACCAAAAAUUAAACCUCCUGGCAACUACUAAGGAGCAACCCGUGCCAGAGUUUUUGGGAAUGUUCCUCUCCAUCUGUCCAGAGAGUGUUAAUGGACUUCCAUAAAAUCAGCAGCUGACUUUAAGGUCCACCAUAUAGGACAGGUUUCUGUGUGGUGUUGUCAUUCUUGGCAGACUCCAGCUAAAAUUUCCAAAGGUUCUCCAAACAGAAGUGUCCCAAGAGAUUAAAGCUAAACUCGCUCUUCCGUGAAAAUACUGCUCAGUGAAAAUAAAGUAAGGUAUAAAGUUAUAUAUCCGUGAGGCUGUCUUACUUUCAGUCUUGCAUAAAGCUCUCUAGUCGAAGAGGUCCCAACAACUCCAUGACCUCUUAAAAUAAAAGUAAAGCUUGAAUCUCAGUAAAACCUGUAUUUAACAAUGUAUUGUCUUGUUGAAAGGCCCUACCUCUGCUUUGUGCUGCCUCUCUGUCCCAUGGCCUUGUUUCUCCUCCAUGUCUGCCAGUUUCAGUUUCAGGUAGGACACCUCCCCCAUGAGACUCAGCUUCUGCUUCUCCAGUGACGUCCUAUGCACAAGUUCCUGUCAUAGAGCAAACACACGUGAUAAACGGUCCUGGUAGGACUCACUGUUGUCUGAUGACUGGUGGUUUACCUUGGAAUAUACAGUGAAACAUUUGAGAGCAAAUGAGGAGAAGAGGAGGAUGACAGCGACAUAGACCACAGAGG